CCAAUAGCGUAUAUUAAAGUUGUUGCAGUUAAAAAGCUCGUAGUUGAACUUCGGGAUUCACCCAUUGGUCAGGUUUAAUUGUCUGCACUGGUGAGAUGAGUCUCUACCUUCUGAGGAACUUUCAUGCCAUUUAUUUGGUGUGAUUGGAAAUCAGGACUGUUACUUUGAAAAAAUUAGAGUGUUUAAAGCAGGCUAACGUCUGAAUACAUUAGCAUGGAAUAAUGAAAUAGGACGGACUGAUUCUAUUUCGUUGGUUUCUAGGAUCACCGUAAUGAUUAAUAGGGAUAGUUGGGGGCAUUAGUAUUCAAUUGUCAGAGGUGAAAUUCUUGGAUUUAUUGAAGACUAACUACUGCGAAAGCAUUUGCCAAGGAUGUUUCCAUUAAUCAAGAACGAAAGUUAGGGGAUCGAAGACGAUCAGAUACCGUCGUAGUCUUAACCAUAAACUAUGCCGACUAGGGAUCGGACGAAGUUAAUUUUAUAAUGACGCGUUCGGCACCUUACG
rnacentral:rRNA from 1 species